AGCGAACGCUGGCGGCAGGCUUAACACAUGCAAGUCGAGCGGGCAUCUUCGGGUGUCAGCGGCGGACGGGUGAGUAACGCGUGGGGACGUGCCUUCUGGUUCGGAAUAACUCAGGGAAACUUGAGCUAAUACCGGAUACGCCCUUUUGGGGAAAGGUUUACUGCCGGAAGAUCGGCCCGCGUCUGAUUAGCUAGUUGGUGGGGUAACGGCCUACCAAGGCGACGAUCAGUAGCUGGUCUGAGAGGAUGAUCAGCCACACGGGGACUGAGGCACGGCCCAGGCUCCUACGGGAGGCAGCAGUGGGGAAUAUUGGACAAUGGGGGCAACCCAGAUCCAGCCAUGCCGCGUGAGUGAUGAAGGCCUUAGGGUUGUAAAGCUCUUUUAUCCGGGACGAUAACGACGGUACCGGAGGAAUAAGCCCCGGCUAACUUCGUGCCAGCAGCCGCCGUAA
rnacentral:rRNA from 1 species